AGCNAACGGAUCUCUUNGGUUCUCGCAUCGAUGAAGAACGCAGCGAAUUGCGAUAAGUAAUGUGAAUUGCAGAUUUUCAGUGAAUCAUCGAAUCUUUGAACGCACCUUGCGCUCCUUGGUAUUCCGAGGAGCAUGCCUGUUUGAGUGUCAUU
rnacentral:rRNA from 1 species